rnacentral:rRNA from 1 species
UACGAAGGGGGCUAGCGUUGUCCGGAAUUAUUGGGCGUAAAGCGCGUGUAGGCGGCUCGGUAAGUCUGCUGUGAAAGUCCAAGGCUCAACCUUGGAAAGCCGGUGGAUACUGUCGAGCUCGAGUCCGGAAGAGGCGAGUGGAAUUCCUGGUGUAGCGGUGAAAUGCGCAGAUAUCAGGAAGAACACCCGUGGCGAAGGCGGCUCUCUGGGACGGUACUGACGCUGAGACGCGAAAGCGUGGGGAGCGAACAGG